GGGGAUAUAGCUCAGUUGGUAGAGUGCUUGCCUCACAUGCAUAAGGCCCUGGGUUCAAUCCACAGCACCA
rnacentral:tRNA from 1 species